rnacentral:rRNA from 1 species
UACGCUGGCGACACGCCUGAACACAUGCAAGUCGAACGAAGUAGCAAUACUUAGUGGCAGACGGGUGAGUAACAUGUAGGUAUCUACCCUUUGGCCUGGAAUAACACGAGGAAACUUGUGCUAAUACCGGAUAAGUCUUUACAGAGAAAGCUUUAUGCACCAUUGGAUGAGCCUGCACUUGAUUAGUUUGUUGGUGGGGCAAUGGCCUACCAAGACUAUGAUCAAUAGCUGAUUUGAGAGGAUGAUCAGCCACAUUGGGACUGAGACACGGCCCAAACUCCUACGGGAGGCAGCAGUGGGGAAUCUUGCACAAUGGAGGAAACUCUGAUGCAGCGAUGCCGCGUGAGUGAAGAAGGCCUUUGGGUUGUAAAGCUCUUUCGUCGGGGAAGAAAAUGACUGUACCCGAAUAAGAAGGUCCGGCUAACUUCGUGCC